rnacentral:rRNA from 1 species
UGAGUACGAGCUGCUACGGCAGCGAAGUGGGUGAUGUCAUGCUUCCAAGAAAAGCCCUAUACCCGUUAAGGCAUGAUGGCCUGUACCCAAAACCGACACAGGUGGGGUGGUAGAGAAUACCGAGGGGCGCGAGGUAACUCUCUCUAAGGAACUCGGCAAAAUGGCCCCGUAACUUCGGGAGAAGGGGUGCCACCGCAAGGUGGUCGCAGUGAAGAGGCCCAGGCGACUGUUUACCAAAAACACAGGUCUCCGCUAAGUCGCAAGACGAUGUAUGGGGGCUGACGCCUGCCCAGUGCCGGAAGGUUAAGGAAGCUGGUCAGCGUAAGCGAAGCUAGCGACUGAAGCCCCGGUGAACGGCGGCCGUAACGAUAACGGUCCUAAGGUAGCGAAAUUCCUUGUCGGGUAAGUUCCGACCCGCACGAAAGGCGUAACGAUCUGGGCGCUGUCUCGGAGAGAGGCUCGGCGAAAUAGAAUUGUCUGUGAAGAUGCGGACUACGUGCACCCGGACAGAAAGACCCUAUGAAGCUUUACUGUAGCUUGGUAUUGUGCUCGGGCUCGGAAUGCGCAGGAUAGGUGGGAGGCUAUGAACCAUUGCUUGUGGGUGAUGGUGAGCCACUGGUGAGAUACCACUCUUUCCGAGCUAGAGUUCUAACAGCCACCCGUUAUCCGGGGGCUGGACAGUAUCAGGUGGGCAGUUUGACUGGGGCGGUCGCCUCCUAAAAGGUAACGGAGGCGCGCAAAGGUUUGCUCAGGCUGGUUGGAAAUCAGCCGACGAGUGUAAAAGCAGAAGCAAGCUUGACUGUGAGACCUACAAGUCGAACAGGGAGGAAACUCGGCUUUAGUGAUCCGACGGUUCUGCGUGGAAGGGCCGUCGCUCAACGGAUAAAAGUUACUCUAAGGAUAACAGGCUGAUCUCCCCCAAGAGUUCACAUCGACGGGGAGGUUUGGCACCUCGAUGUCGGCUCAUCGCAACCUGGGGCUGAAGUCGGUCCCAAGGGUUGGGCUGUUCGCCCAUUAAAGCGGUACGCGAGCUGGGUUCAGAACGUCGUGAGACAGUUCGGUCCAUAUCCGGUGCAUGCGCAGGAAUAUUGAGAGGAUUUCUCCCUAGUACGAGAGGACCGGGAGGAACGCACCUCUGGUGUACCAGUUAUCGUGCCAACGGUAAACGCUGGGUAGCCAUGUGCGGAGAGGAUAACCGCUGAAAGCAUCUAAGUGGGAAGCCCACCUCAAGAUGAGUAUUCCCAUGGGGUAACCCAGUAAGGUCACGGGAAGAACACCCGUUGAUAGGCUCUACGUGGAAGCGCAGUAAUGUGUGAAGCGGAGGAGUACUAAUAGACCGAGGGCUUGACCG